GAUGAAGAACGCAGCGAAAUGCGAUAAGUAGUGUGAAUUGCAGAAUUCAGUGAAUCAUCGAAUCUUUGAACGCACAUUGCGCCCUUUGGUAUUCCUUAGGGCAUGCCUGUUCGAGCGUCAUUUAAACCUUCAAGCUCAGCUUGGUGUUGGGUGACUGUCCGCUUCACCGCGGACUCGCCUCAAAAUUAUUGGCGGCCGGUACAUUGGCUUCGAGCGCAGCAGAAACGCGAACUCGGGCCCGUCGUAUUGGCUCCCAGAAGCUAUCUUCACAAUUUUGACCUCGGAUCAGGUAGGGAUACCCGCUGAACUUAAGCAUAUCAAAGCGGAGGA
rnacentral:misc_RNA from 1 species